GACGAACGCUGGCGGCGUGCUUAACACAUGCAAGUCGAACGGAAAGGCCCUGCUUUUGUGGGGUGCUCGAGUGGCGAACGGGUGAGUAACACGUGAGUAACCUGCCCUUGACUUUGGGAUAACUUCAGGAAACUGGGGCUCAUACCGGAUAGGAGCACCUGCUGCAUGGUGGGGGUUGGAAAGUUUCGGCGGUUGGGGAUGGACUCGCGGCCUAUCAGCUUGUUGGUGGGGUAGUGGCUUACCAAGGCUUUGACGGGUAGCCGGCCUGAGAGGGUGACCGGCCACAUUGGGACUGAGAUACGGCCCAGACUCCUACGGGGGGCAGCAGUGGGGGAUAUUGCACAAUGGGCGGAAGCCUGAUGCAGCAACGCCGCGUGCGGGAUGACGGCCUUCGGGUUGUAAACCGCUUUCGCCUGUGACGAAGCGUGAGUGACGGUAAUGGGUAAAGAAGCACCGGCUAACUACGUG
rnacentral:rRNA from 1 species